UACGUAGGGUGCAAGCGUUAUCCGGAAUUAUUGGGCGUAAAGAGCUCGUAGGUGGUUUGUCGCGUUGUUCGUGAAAUCUCACGGCUUAACUGUGAGCGUGCGGGCGAUACGGGCAGACUAGAGUACUGCAGGGGAGACUGGAAUUCCUGGUGUAGCGGUGGAAUGCGCAGAUAUCAGGAGGAACACCGGUGGCGAAGGCGGGUCUCUGGGCCGUAACUGACGCUGAGGAGCGAAAGCAUGGGGAGCGAACAGG
rnacentral:rRNA from 1 species